CGUGUUCUUUCAUCACGAUAUCUAUUUAUAUUAACCGCUCUACCUUCCUGCUCGUCCAGCCUGGCGGGGCGUUUUCAAGGCUGAGGGGAGAAGAACUUUGUCUCGUUUCAUCAAAUCUGCCCUCUCUGGAGGGCUGCUGAUGGACAGGUGACCCUCCAGAGGGAGGGUCUGUAAAUACCCCUCGGUCACCUACCUGGCCCUCGGGGAGGCACUCAGCCCUGCCGGCCAAACAAGCACACCCUGGCUGUGCCCCACUCACACACUCUCACACCCACACGCACCAACUCACGCGCCCACACUCUCACACACACACGCACCAACUCACGUGCCCACACUCACUCACACACACCCACACUCACACACUCACAUGCAUCAACUCACACGCCCACACUCGCACUCACAGACACGCGCCCACACUCACGCUGUCACGUGCGCCGACACACGCACCGGCCCACACGCCCACACUCACACACACUGACAUGCCCCGGCUCACACGCCAACCCUCACAUGCUCUCACACGUGCCAACACACGCACCGGCUCACGCGCCCAC
rnacentral:lncRNA from 1 species